rnacentral:rRNA from 1 species
AGCGAACGCUGGCGGCAGGCCUAACACAUGCAAGUCGAACGAACCCUUCGGGGUUAGUGGCGGACGGGUGAGUAACACGUGGGAACGUGCCUUUAGGUCCGGAAUAACUCAGGGAAACUUGUGCUAAUACCGAAUGUGCCCUUCGGGGGAAAGAUUUAUCGCCUUUAGGGCGGCCCGCGUCUGAUUAGCUAGUUGGUGAGGUAAUGGCUCACCAAGGCUACGAUCGGUAGCUGGUCUGAGAGGAUGACCAGCCACAUUGGGACUGAGACACGGCCCAAACUCCUACGGGAGGCAGCAGUGGGGAAUCUUGCGCAAUGGGCGAAAGCCUGACGCAGCCAUGCCGCGUGGAUGAUGAAGGUCUUAGGAUUGUAAAAUCCUUUCACCGGUGAAGAUAAUGACUGUAGCCGGAGAAGAAGCCCCGGCUAACUUCGUGCCAGCCGCCGCCGUAAUAC